rnacentral:rRNA from 1 species
UACGUAGGGGGCGAGCGUUGUCCGAAGUUACUGGGCGUAAAGCGCGCGUAGGCGGGGGAUUAAGUGAGAGGUGAAAGGCUGGGGCUCAACCCCAUGCAGUGCCUCUCAUACUGGUCUUCUUGAGGGCGGUAGGGAGAAGUGGAAUGGCUGGUGUAGCGGUGAAAUGCGUAGAUAUCAGUCGGAACACCGGUGGCGAAGGCGGCUUCUUGGGCCGUUCCUGACGCUGAGGUGCGAAAGCUGGGGGAGCGAACGGG